AACGCUGGCGGUAUGCUUAACACAUGCAAGUCGAACGGAAACGAAACUAGCUUGCUAGUUGGCGUCGAGUGGCGGACGGGUGAGUAACGCGUAGGAAUCUACCUAGUAGUGGGGGAUAGCCCGAAGAAAUUCGGAUUAAUACCGCAUAAUCUAUUCGUAGUAAAGUGGGGGACUUUCGAGCCUCACGCUAUUAGAUGAGCCUGCGUAAGAUUAGCUUGUUGGUAGGGUAAAAGCCUACCAAGGCUACGAUCUUUAGCUGGUCUGAGAGGAUGAUCAGCCACAUCGGGACUGAGACACGGCCCGAACUCCUACGGGAGGCAGCAGUGGGGAAUAUUGGACAAUGGGGGCAACCCUGAUCCAGCAAUACCGCGUGUGUGAAGAUGGCCUGAGGGUUGUAAAGCACUUUCAAUUGUGAAGAAAAGUUAGCGGUUAAUAACCGUUAGCCUUGACAUCAACUUUAGAAGAAGCACCGGCUAA
rnacentral:rRNA from 1 species